AAAAAGACAAACCCUGGGUUUCCGUGUCCAACUUUGACUAUCCGUCUUAUAUGAAAUUUUUUUAUAAUUCGUAUUUUCAUUGUUGUUAGAUGAUAAAACAUAAUUAAUAUUUUAUACGUGACUUGUUUUUUUAAUUUUUUUCAUAAUUUUUUCAAAUAAGACGGACGGUCCAAUGUUGGACACGGAAACCAGGGUUUGUCUUUUU
rfam:Oryza nivara chromosome 1, whole genome shotgun sequence.